rnacentral:rRNA from 1 species
GACGAACGCUGGCGGCGUGCUUAACACAUGCAAGUCGAACGAUGAUGCCCAGCUUGCUGGGUGGAUUAGUGGCGAACGGGUGAGUAACACGUGAGUAACCUGCCCCUGACUCUGGGAUAAGCGUUGGAAACGACGUCUAAUACUGGAUAUGACUGCCGGCCGCAUGGUCUGGUGGUGGAAAGAUUUUUGGUUGGGGAUGGACUCGCGGCCUAUCAGCUUGUUGGUGAGGUAAUGGCUCACCCAGGCGACGACGGGUAGCCGGCCUGAGAGGGUGACCGGCCACACUGGGACUGAGACACGGCCCAGACUCCUACGGGAGGCAGCAGUGGGGAAUAUUGCACAAUGGGCGAAAGCCUGAUGCAGCAACGCCGCGUGAGGGAUGACGGCCUUCGGGUUGUAAACCUCUUUUAGUAGGGAAGAAGCGAAAGUGACGGUACCUGCAGAAAAAGCACCGGCUAACUACGUGCCAGCAGCCGCCGUAA